GCUCUGGCUGAGGCUGCCUCCUGUCCUCACAGAGCAGGAGCUGUCAGUUGGUUGGAGAGAGGUGGUGUUCGGCACUGGUGAAAGAAAGAGUCGACUUGGACUUUUGGGAGCUGUUGGACCCCGACACUAUGACCUAGUCUUUUUAUUGAGAGUCUUUUGGAGUGCCACAAACAUGAGCUGUAUCCGGAUGCCGCUCUUCUUCUGAAGCUGGUGAGCUGUGAUCUGGGCAGGAGGGAGGGAAAGGAGGCUGUCCCAGUCCCAUGCCCUCUCAAGGACACUCAGCUCCGUGGGACAGGAUGGAAGGCACAAGCCUCAACCAGCCCAUGUCCAGACCUGCAGAUGAUGACACUAUGAAAUGGAGCCUCACCCCCACUGCUUCAAGGUUUAGUCCCCUCACCCCUCGGGAGAUCUCAUACCCCUCAAUUUAGCCAGUUCUAGGGAGUUUGUGCAUUUUUCUUAAGACUAGAUGUAGAGCCAGGGUGAAGGUGUAUGCCUAUAAUCCCAGGACUCUGGAGGCUUAGUCAGGAGACUAGCCAUAAAUUCAAGGCCAGCCUGGGCUAUAUAAGGAGCAGUAGUCUAGCUUUGGUGACACUGUGAUAUCUCUCUCUCUCUAAAACACAGAAAUCGAACAACAGGACUAGUUCUCUAUGUGCCUUGCAUGCACACUGGUUCUUGGCCCUGGGUUCUUGUCCAGCAUAAAAUAAAACCAGGUGGAGCAUGCUGGGAAUCCCAGUUUUGGAGGGUGGAGACAAGAGGAUCAGGCGGUCAAGGUCAUCUUCCAACAUAGAGAGUUGGAGGUCCGUCUAGGAGGAAUGACACUCUAUUUUAAAAGCAAACAACCCCUACCCCCAAAUCUUAAUGCCCAAAUCUCAGAAAACAGUGACAUGGCAGCCCAUAACAACCACCUAUUCCAUGUGAUUCAGACCUUUCUGAUAGAGAGAAGAAAGUCGGCCAUCUAGAUGUGCAGUGCAGUAAUUUUUUUCCCUGUGACUCACAUCUGGAAUUGGCCUCAGCAUUGAGUUCAUCCCCUAUGCACAGCACUGAAGAGCUAUUCAACAAGUACUUCCUGCUGUUAAGGCUCAGCGGGCCUUGUCUGUCAAGUGAUAGUACCUCAUUCAUCAUGGUGUGAGAAAUC